GCCCGAUUAGCUCAGCUGGUUAGAGCGUCGUACUAAUAUAGCACCUGCUAUACUAAGUAAUGCGAAGGUCAACAGUUCAAUCCUGUUAUUGGGCA